ensembl:lncRNA LINC00442 long intergenic non-protein coding RNA 442
AAGCCCCUUCCUCCUCUCCAGAAGUACGUGGAUUUUUCAGUUUUCUGCCCUAACUGUUAUCCCACUGUGGCUCAUACCUGCCCUCCCCACUACCCUACCCUAAUACUCUACCUGCACUGCUCUUCUGCUAUUCAUUACAAACCAUCCAUUUGUCAAUGCUCUAGUCCCAGAACUCUUUCUGGUAACUCCCUUAUCGAUCACCCUAGCCCUCCUUCUAGCCCUACUGGUCAACGCUUGGGUCCCAGAACUCUUCCCUGUGAUUCCCUUAUCCGUUCUCCUGUUCCUCCUCCUAGCCCUCCUUGCCAACGCUCUGGUCCCAGAACUCUUUUCUGUGACUACCCUGUCUGUCCCCCUACUCCUCCUCCCAGCCCUACUUGCAAAUGCUGUCGUCCCAGAGCUGUUUCCUGGGACUCCUCUACCUAUGCCUCUACCCCUCCUCCUUAGCCCUACUUCUUUCUAGUACCCUGUACUCUAGUCCCCAGCCCCCAGCCCUGCCAUCCCCAACCAGACCUUAUGGUUCACAAGUCUCAUCUUGGAGAUGGUUUCCCUGCUCCCGGGGCAGUUCUGGAACAGUUCAGGAUGGCCAGGACUGUGGAUUCCCAGCAGUCUGACCUCGUGGACAAAGGAAAUGCAAGACGAUGGCAAACCAGCAUUCAGCCUCAUCUGCUCCUUUCCUCCCCUGCCUCAUCAGCCAGCCUGCAUGAGCCUCUACAUUUGUUCCUGGCUUCUCCAUGGAACUCGGUCUACAGCCACAAAGCAAACCACAGGGCCAGUGACAGAGAAGGCAGAGGGGAGUGUGGAGUGGGAAGCACCUAACCUGUUCUCAAGGAGGGGAAUGAUUGGCCAAGAUGAGUUUCAAUCGUAUGUCCACUACCUCCUGGCCUGCCACUUGGCUGUGAGUCCUUUCUGGGCGGUGUCCAGGGGCGGUUCCAGUGAUCAGGCAGGUGCUGAGAAGCACAGGCAGUUUUUCCAUCUGAAAAAUGGAAAUAACAACCCACCACUCCGUGAGUCUUUUAAGAAUUGAAGAUUUGCUUAAAGCAUGUAGCUCAGAGGAGGUAUACAAUAAGUAAUGUCUAUCAUCGCCCUACUAGUCAUUACCUAAUGAUCAUGAGCAUUCACUUGUUCUUCUCGCCAGAUGGUCCUACCCUGAUGUAUUUCUUGGGUUCCUUCUAAAUGGAAGUGGAAAGUAAGGUUAUUCUUCAUCCAUUCAGCUUGUGAAAAUGUGUGUUAUAAUGCUGUUAAAUCAAUGGCAUAACAUUGUCUACCCUUUAGAAAA